rnacentral:rRNA from 1 species
UUGAAACUGGCAACCUAGAGUAUGGGAGGGGGAGAUGGAAUUAGUGGUGUAGGGGUAAAAUCCGUAGAUAUCACUAGGAAUAUCAAAAGCGAAGGCGAUCUCCUGGAACAUUACUGACGCUAAGGCGUGAAAGCGUGGGGAGCAAACAGGAUUAGAUACCCUGGUAGUCCACGCCCUAAACGAUGAACACUAGUCGUCGGGAUGCUAGUCAUCUCGGUGAUGCACUUAACAGAUUAAGUGUUCCGCCUGGGGAGUACGGUCGCAAGAUUAAAACUCAAAGGAAUAGACGGGGACCCGCACAAGUGGUGGAGCAUGUGGUUUAAUUCGAAGAUACGCGAAAAACCUUACCUAGCCUUGACAUUGAUAGAAUUCUGUAGAGAUACGGAAGUGCCCUUCGGGGAACUUGAAAACAGGUGCUGCACGGCUGUCGUCAGCUCGUGUCGUGAGAUGUUGGGUUAAGUCCCGCAACGAGCGCAACCCUCGUCUUUAGUUGCCAGCAGUUCGGCUGGGCACUCUAAAGAGACUGCCUUCGCAAGAAGGAGGAAGGUGAGGACGACGUCAAGUCAUCAUGGCCCUUAUGGCUAGGGCUACACACGUGCUACAAUGGGGCGUACAGAGAGUUGCGAUACCGCGAGGUGGAGCCAAUCUCACAAAGCGUCUCUCAGUUCGGAUUGAAGUCUGCAACUCGACUUCAUGAAGCUGGAAUCACUAGUAAUCGUAGAUCAGCAUAAAUACGGUGAAUACGUUCCCGGGUC